GAGUUGUUAUGGGCAUGCUAUGCAUGGCGGGCUCCCUGUACUUCGGUGCAGCCAACCGCUGUGGGGCUGUCUUUUCACUGUCCCUCCCGAUGCGCUUUUUUGGGCGUGGGUGGGAACGCUUGCUGUCGGUGGUCUGUGUGGUUCUACCCUCGUGUGGAACAAAAUUGGGUUUCAUGAUAGGCUUCUGCAUGCGCUGUCGGCACGUGCUGCCAUCGGCGCGGCUGAUUUGUUGGCAUAACGCUUGUGCGGCUGUGGGUGCACGAAUGGCUUCAGUACUGCACACGUGUUUUGUCGGCUCUCAUGGAUGCGGUGCGCAUUGAGGAAUCCAUGCGUCUUCGGUCGCUGGAUUACUUCGGGAUGUCCCUCGCACGAAUCGUCGCUCCGUUGCUUUGCUUCGGGGCGCGCUUCUGUGCUGGUGAGAUGGUUGCCCGGUUGAAAGUACGAUUGUCCGAUCUUGUCGUGCGAAAGCGCGCUCCCGUUGGGGGCGUGUCGGAAGCGACUGGUUGGCACUCGUGAAGACGUGCUA
rnacentral:misc_RNA from 1 species